ensembl:snRNA LOC120096752 U6 spliceosomal RNA
GUGCUUGUUUUGCAUGUUCAUAUACAAAAAUUGGAACAAUACAGAAAAGGUUAUCAUGGACCCUGCACAAGUAUGACACUUGGAAUUAUAGAGCAUUCCAUAUGUUU